UACUCAAGGAGGGCCAGUGUCGUAACACGUGAAGUCUUGCUUGAGAAUGCUUUGGGCUCCUGGCUGUAGAAGGAAGAAUAGAAAUUACAACAAAAAAAUCUUGAUUCUAAUAGAAUAUUAAUUAAACUCUAAUUAGAUCAUAAUAAUCCUAAGCAAGCUUCAAUCAAAUUAAAAAAAAAACUCAAGAAAUUUCAAACAAACAAUAAGAAUUCUUGAAGAAAUAUUAGAAGAAUCACAAAUAUCAUUCAAAUACAUCUCAAUUCAAUCUUAAUUUAAUUCUAGUUAAAAUCCUAUUGGACCUCAUUCAAACUUUAGGCCAAAAUUAAUUAAAUCUUAAACCCUAAAAAAAUCCUAAUAAAAUCCUAAAUCAAAUCCUAAUCAAACCCUAAAUCCAAAUUCUAAAUCCUAAACCAUAUCCUAAAUCCUAAACCCUAAUCCAAAUCCUAAAUCCUAAACCAAAUCCUAACUAAAUCUUAAAUCCUAAAUCAAAUCCUAAAUAAAUCCUAAAUCCUAAAUAAAAUCCUAACCAAAUCCUAAAUCCUAAAUCAAAC
rnacentral:lncRNA from 1 species